GCUCAAACUUACAAACUGAGAUCAUGACCUGAGCUGAAGUUAGAUGCUUAGCCAACUGUGCCAUCCAGGCAUCCCUACUCUCCCCUUUCCAAGAUCCUUAACUUAAUCACAUCUACAAGGUCCCUACUGCCAUACAAGAAUUUUUGGGGUCCAAAUUCUACACUCCUGAUUUAAGAUCUCCAAGUUUAAGACGCGUCUUUAUGGUUUCCAUGAGCAUAGAUGGAUGAUGCAUCUAAAUCUGUAAAGCCAAAGGGUUUACAUUUUGGGGGAAAACCUACUAGUUUAAGGAAACAAAUGAAAGACCUUCUGGUUUGAAUAUUUAUUUUAAUGAGAAGAAAGCCCAUUUGGAUGAGAAAGGUGAAGAAAAAGCAAGUUUAUGCUCCCCUGAUGUGCUCUAUGAUCACGUCUGUCUUACCCAGCUCUAAUUUUCUUUGAUUUUAACUCAUCUGUAUGACCAGACAUCUCCAUUUACUGAACACUGCUUUCAUGCUGCACGCUCUGUUUACAUUACCUGGAAACUUGACAGUUGUCAGUGGGGCUUUAUGUUCCCCAUUUGCUUCCGGCUAUUAAAAUGUUACACAAAACACCAGGCUAAAAAAGACAGAUUUCCAAGGAGCUGAGCUGUAAAUUCUUGACAUAUUAUUUGAUGAAGAGAUACACUUGACGGCUGAUACUCUCAUGACCAACAUGUUCGCAUGGAGUUACACUGGAGGACUUUCAAUACCCCUGCAAGUUCACUGUUUCCUGGUCACUCAUGAAUUCAUGAGUGGAGGGAGAGAAAGAAUCCCAAGCAGGCUCUGUGCUGCCAUUGUGGAGCCUAAAUGGCCUAAAUGGCAGUGAAUUACUAUUAGAGUUAUAACUACAAACAACUUUAUUUAAACACUUUUUUGUGAAGUAAUUUAUUUUGGGAAAGCAAUGCUUAAAUAUCAUCAGCAACCAAUCAGUUUACAUUCCCCUCUCGGCCUGCCAGUACCUUACCCACAGUGGAGCGUUGUGGCUCUGAUGAUAUCUAUGGAUGUAGACCUGAACUCAACACUGAAAACUCAGAGAUUGGUCACCUGGCUAUCUUUGCACACCUCUUUUAUAGAAUAUGCUGUUGUGAAAGUAGUAAUGGUUCAAGUUAGGAAACUAGAGAAGAGAGAAGUCCAGUUCCUAGACUUCUUGGUGACACCGGUAAAAUAACAAAAGAAUAUUGACACUUGUUAUGCUCUUGCUUUUGUUUAUACUAAGACUUUCAACUCUCAAAAUGAAAGAAUGUGGAUCUUAUCAACCUAGAGGAGUCUAAAGAUGCUAUGGACUUGAUUGGUAAAAACAAAUAAAAGCAACGAGAAAAAAAUGGUUCCCCAUUAAAAUGAAACCCUGAUUACUGAA